AGACGGAGGGGGCUAGCGUUGUUCGGAAUUACUGGGCGUAAAGCGCGCGUAGGCGGUAUAUCAAGUUAGGCGUGAAAGCCCCGGGCUCAACCCGGGAACUGCGCUUAUUACUGAUAAACUAGAGUCCGGGAGAGGGUGGCGGAAUUCCCAGUGUAGAGGUGAAAUUCGUAGAUAUUGGGAAGAACACCAGUUGCGAAGGCGGCCACCUGGACCGGUACUGACGCUGAGGUGCGAAAGCGUGGGGAGCAAACAGGAUUAGAAACCCCUGUAGUCC
rnacentral:rRNA from 1 species